rnacentral:rRNA from 1 species
UAACACGUGGGAACGUGCCUUUAGGUUCGGAAUAACUCAGGGAAACUUGUGCUAAUACCGAAUGUGCCCUUCGGGGGAAAGAUUUAUCGCCUUUAGAGCGGCCCGCGUCUGAUUAGCUAGUUGGUGAGGUAAAGGCUCACCAAGGCGACGAUCAGUAGCUGGUCUGAGAGGAUGACCAGCCACAUUGGGACUGAGACACGGCCCAAACUCCUACGGGAGGCAGCAGUGGGGAAUCUUGCGCAAUGGGCGAAAGCCUGACGCAGCCAUGCCGCGUGAAUGAUGAAGGUCUUAGGAUUGUAAAAUUCUUUCACCGGGGACGAUAAUGACGGUACCCGGAGAAGAAGCCCCGGCUAACUUCGUGCCAGCAGCCGCGGUAAUACGAAGGGGGCUAGCGUUGCUCGGAAUUACUGGGCGUAAAGGGAGCGUAGGCGGACAUUUAAGUCAGGGGUGAAAUCCCAGAGCUCAACUCUGGAACUGCCUUUGAUACUGGGUGUCUUGAGUAUGAUAGAGGUAUGUGGAACUCCGAGUGUAGAGGUGAAAUUCGUAGAUAUUCGGAAGAACACCAGUGGCGAAGGCGACAUACUGGAUCAUUACUGACGCUGAGGCUCGAAAGCGUGGGGAGCAAACAGGAUUAGAUACCCUGGUAGUCCACGCCGUAAACGAUGAUUGCUAGUUGUUGGGAUGUUUACAUCUCGG